rnacentral:RNase_P_RNA from 1 species
UCGGCCAGCCGGACGAUCGCGUCGCGUGAAAACGCGCCGAGGAAAGUCCGGGCUCCGUGGACGCGCUGCCAGGUAACGCCUGGGCACACCGCGAGGUGUGACGGAUAGUGCAACAGAAAGGACACCGCCUUCACGCGAGUGGAGGUAAGGGUGAAAUGGUGGGGUAAGAGCCCACCGCGCGCGUGGCAACAUGCGUGGCAAGGCAAACCCCAGCGGGAGCAAGGCCAAAUAGGCGGCGAGCUGCAGUCCUCAGCGAUCAAGACGCCGCGGGUUGGCUGCUAGAGUGUGCGGGCGACCGUACACCGAGAGAAAUGAUCGUCCGGGGUUUCGGCCCUGACAGAACCCGGCUUAUAGGCUGGUCGAUUUC